GAUGAAGAACGCAGCGAAAUGCGAUAAGUAAUGUGAAUUGCAGAAUUCAGUGAAUCAUCGAAUCUUUGAACGCACAUUGCGCCCGCCAGUAUUCUGGCGGGCAUGCCUGUUCGAGCGUCAUUACAACCCUCAGGCCCCCGGGCCUGGCGUUGGGGAUCGGCGGAGCCCCCCGUGGGCACACGCCGGCCCCCAAAUGCAGUGGCGGUCCCGCCGCAGCUUCCAUCGCGUAGUAGCUAACACCUCGCGACUGGAGAGCGGCGCGGCCACGCCGUAAAACACCCAACUCUUCUGAAGUUGACCUCGAAUCAGGUAGGAAUACCCGCUGAACUUAAGCAUAUCAAUAAGCGGAGGA
rnacentral:misc_RNA from 1 species